GACGAACGCUGGCGGCGUGCUUUAGGCAUGCAAGUCGAACGCGAAAGCCCCUUCGGGGGUGAGUAGAGUGGCGAACGGGUGAGUAACACGUGGGUAACCUGCCCCUCGCAGGGGGAUAACCGGGGGAAACCCCGGCUAAUACCCCGUACGCUUGCUGGGGCGCAUGCUCCGGCAAGGAAAGGUAGCUUCGGCCAUCCGGCGAGGGAGGGGCCCGCGGCCCAUUAGCUAGUUGGUGGGGUAACGGCCCACCAAGGCGACGAUGGGUAGCUGGCCUGAGAGGGUGGUCAGCCACCCUGGGACUGAGACACGGCCCAGACUCCUACGGGAGGCAGCAGCCAGGAAUCUUGCGCAAUGGGCGAAAGCCUGACGCAGCAACGCCGCGUGGGCGAUGAAGGCCUUCGGGUCGUAAAGCCCUGUUGUCGGGGACGAAGGGCGAAGGGUUAAUAGCCCCUAGCCUGACGGUACCCGACGAGGAAGCCCCGGCUAACUACGUG
rnacentral:rRNA from 1 species